GGCGGCGUGCCUAAUACAUGCAAGUCGAACGGUCUUUCUAUGGAAGCUUGCUUCCACUGAGAAGAUAGUGGCGAACGGGUGAGUAACACGUGGGUAACCUGCCCAUAAGAGGGGGAUAACAUCCGGAAACGGGUGCUAAUACCGCAUAGUUUUCUUGAUCGCAUGAUCGGGAAAGGAAAGACGGCCUUUGUGCUGUCGCUUAUGGAUGGACCCGCGGCGUAUUAGUUAGUUGGUGAGGUAACGGCUCACCAAGACGAUGAUACGUAGCCGACCUGAGAGGGUGAUCGGCCACAUUGGGACUGAGACACGGCCCAAACUCCUACGGGAGGCAGCAGUAGGGAAUCUUCCGCAAUGGACGAAAGUCUGACGGAGCAACGCCGCGUGAGUGAAGAAAAGGUUUUCGGAUCGUAAAACUCUGUUGUCAGAGAAGAACAAGUUGGAGAGUAACUGCUCCAGCCUUGACGGUAUCUGACCAGAAAGCCACGGCUAACUACGUGCCAGCAGCGGC
rnacentral:rRNA from 1 species